rnacentral:rRNA from 1 species
CUCUUCAUGCUUAGUUGGUGCAUUGAGGCCUAUGUGGUGCUAUAAACUAUUUAGAUUAUGAAACUGCAAAUGACUUAUUAAAUUAGUUAUAGUUUAUUUGAUGGUAUCUACUACUCGGAUAACCAUAGUAAUACUAGAGCUAAUACGUGCAGAAACCCUAACUUCUAAAAAGGAUGCAUUUAUUAGAUAAAAGGUCGACACGAGCUUUGCCCGUUGUUUUGAUGAUGCAUGACAACUUCAUGGAUUGCAUGGCCUUUGUGCUGUGCUAGCAACACAUCAUUCAAAUUUUUGCCCUAUGAUGUUUCGAUGCUAAGAUUAUGGUCUAUUAUGGUGGUGAUGAGUGAUGGAGAGUUAGGGUUCGAUUCUGGAGAGGGAGACUGAGAAAUAGCUACCACAUCUAAGAAAGGUAGUAGAAGCAGAAAUUACCCAAUCUCGACACAAGGAGUUAGUGACAAUAAAUAACAAUAUUGAGCUUUAUGAGUCUAGCAAUUGGAAUGAGUACAAUCUAAAUCCCUUAGCAAGGAUCCAUUAGAGGGCAAGUCUGAUGCCAGUAGGCACAGUAAUUCUAGCUCCAAUAGCAUAAAUUUAAGUUGUUGUAGUUAAAAAGCUCAUAGUUAGAGCUAGGGUUAAGUCAUCUGGUCUGCCUCACAAUAAACAUCGAUUUACUUAUCCUUACUACUGGGAUGUGCCUUUGGCCUUAACUACCUGGGUCAUUCCUCUGACACUACUCUUUAAAGAAAUUAGAGUGCUUAAAGUAGGCCCUUGCUUGUAUGCAUUAGCAUGGAAUAACAUCAUAGGAUUUUAGUCCUAUUGCAUUAGCCCUUCGAGAUCAGAGUAAUGAUUAACAGAGACAAUCAGGGACAUUUGUAUUUCAUUGUCAAAGGUGAAAUUCUUAGAUUUAUAAGAGACAAACAACUACAAAAACAUUUACCAAGGAUAUUUUUAUUAAUCAAGAAUGAAAGUUGAGGGCUAAAACAUGAUUAGAUACCAUCCUAGUCUCUACCAUAAAUGAAGCCGACUAGGGAUAAAUGGAUGUUACUUUUAGGACUCUGUUGGUACCUUAUGAGAAAUCAAAGUCUUUGGUUUUCAAGGGGAAUAUGGUCGUAAGGCUAAAAUUUAAAGGAAUUGAUAAAAGGGCACCAUUAGGAGUGGAGCCUAUAGCUUAAUUUCAGUCAACAUAGGGAAACUAACCCGGUCUACAUAUAGUAAGGAUUGACAGAUUGAAAGCUUUUUUAUUGAUUCUAUGGGUGGUGGUGCAAUGUUGUUCUUAGUUGGUGGAGUGAUUUGUCUAGUUAAUUCUGUUAAUGAACAAGAUCUCGACCUACUAACUAGCUACGUGGAGGUGAUUCUUCAUGGCUAGCUUCUUAGAGGGACUAUGGUCGUUUAGGCAAAGGAAGUUUGAGGGAAUAACAGGGCUAUGACACCUAUAGAUGUUUUGGGCUGUUCAUACAUUACACUGAUGUAUUGAACAAGUCUAUAGCCUUGGCUGACAAGCUCGAGUAAUCUUUGAAAUUUCAUCAUGAUGGGGAUAGAUCAUUGUAAUUAUUAGUCUUUAAUGAGAAAUUCCUACUAAGCAUGAGUCUUCAACUCAUGUUGACUAUGUUUUUGCCUUUGUAGACACCACCUAUUGCUCUUACCGAUUGAAUGGCCUAGUAAAGUGUUUAGAUCAUAGUGAUGUGGAUUCUUCGUUGCUAAAGAUGUUGUAAGAAGUCCAUUGAACCUUAUCAUUUAGAGGAAGGAGAAGUUGUAACAAGGUUUUCAUAAGUGAAACUAUAAAAG